rnacentral:rRNA from 1 species
GAUGAACGCUGGCGGCGUGCCUAAUACAUGCAAGUCGAGCGAACUGAUUAGAAGCUUGCUUCUAUGACGUUAGCGGCGGACGGGUGAGUAACACGUGGGCAACCUGCCUGUAAGACUGGGAUAACUUCGGGAAACCGAAGCUAAUACCGGAUAGGAUCUUCUCCUUCAUGGGAGAUGAUUGAAAGAUGGUUUCGGCUAUCACUUACAGAUGGGCCCGCGGUGCGUUAGCUGGUUGGUGAGGUAACGGCUCACCAAGGCAACGAUGCAUAGCCGACCGGGGAGGGUGAUCGGACACACUGGCACAGAGACACGGCCCAGACUCCUACGGGAGGCAGCAGUAGGGAAUCUUCCGCAAUGGACGAAAGUCUGACGGAGCAACGCCGCGUGAGUGAUGAAGGCUUUCGGGUCGUAAAACUCUGUUGUUAGGGAAGAAUAAGUACAAGAGUAACUGCUUGUACCUUGACGGUACCUAACCAGAAAGCCACGGCUAACUACGUGCCAGCCGCCGCUGUAACAC